CAGCUAGUUGGUGGGGUAAUGGCCCACCAAGGCGAUGAUGGCUAGCUGGUCUGAGAGGAUGGCCAGCCACACUGGGACUGAAACACGGCCCAGACUCCUACGGGAGGCAGCAGUGGGGGAUAUUGCGCAAUGGGCGAAAGCCUGACGCAGCGACGCCGCGUGGGUGAUGAAGGCCUUCGGGUCGUAAAGCCCUGUCGAGGGGAAAGAAACGGUUUCGACCUAACACGUCGGGAUCCUGACGGUACCCCUAAAGGAAGCACCGGCUAACUCCGUGCCAGCAGCCGCGGUAAUACGGAGGGUGCGAGCGUUGUUCGGAAUCACUGGGCGUAAAGGGCGUGUAGGCGGUCCGCUAAGUCUGAUGUGAAAGCCCGGGGCUCACCCCCGGAAGGGCAUUGGAAACUGACGGACUCGAGUCCCGAAGAGGAGGGUGGAAUUCCUGGUGUAGCGGUGAAAUGCGUAGAUAUCAGGAGGAACACCGGUGGCGAAGGCGGCCCUCUGGACGGUGACUGACGCUGAGACGCGAAAGCGUGGGGAGC
rnacentral:rRNA from 1 species